CCCUUAGAUGUUCUGGGCCGCACGCGCGCUACACUGAUGCAUUCAACGAGUCUAAAACCUGGUCUGAUAGGGCUGGGUAAUCUUUUGAAUGUGCAUCGUGAUUGGGAUAGAUGAUUGCAAUUCUUCACCUUCAACGAGGAAUGCCUAGUAAACGCAAGUCAUCAGCUUGCAUUGAUUACGUCCCUGCCCUUUGUACACACCGCCCGUCGCUCCUACCGAUUGAAUGUUCCGAUGAAUACCAUGGACUGAGAGUAUGAAUGGGUUCGCCUAUUUCUGCUUCUCGGGAAGUGGAGUAAAUCUUAACAUUUAGAGGAAGGAGAAGUCGUAACA
rnacentral:rRNA from 1 species